rnacentral:rRNA from 1 species
AUUUGGUUGAAUGUUGCGCGGUCAGAAAAUUAUUUUAAAUUUCCUCUUGUCAGGCCGGAAUAACUCCCUAUAAUGCGCCACCACUGACACGGAACAACGGCAAACACGCCGCCGGGUCAGCGGGGUUCUCCUGAGAACUCCGGCAGAGAAAGCAAAAAUAAAUGCUUGACUCUGUAGCGGGAAGGCGUAUUAUGCACACCCCGCGCCGCUGAGAAAAAGCGAAGCGGCACUGCUCUUUAACAAUUUAUCAGACAAUCUGUGUGGGCACUCGAAGAUACGGAUUCUUAACGUCGCAAGACGAAAAAUGAAUACCAAGUCUCAAGAGUGAACACGUAAUUCAUUACGAAGUUUAAUUCUUUGAGCGUCAAACUUUUAAAUUGAAGAGUUUGAUCAUGGCUCAGAUUGAACGCUGGCGGCAGGCCUAACACAUGCAAGUCGAACGGUAACAGGAAGAAGCUUGCUUCUUUGCUGACGAGUGGCGGACGGGUGAGUAAUGUCUGGGAAACUGCCUGAUGGAGGGGGAUAACUACUGGAAACGGUAGCUAAUACCGCAUAACGUCGCAAAACCAAAGAGGGGGACCUUCGGGCCUCUUGCCAUCGGAUGUGCCCAGAUGGGAUUAGCUAGUAGGUGGGGUAACGGCUCACCUAGGCGACGAUCCCUAGCUGGUCUGAGAGGAUGACCAGC